CGUACUCCCUCCCUCCAACCACGCCCGGCCAAACUUGCCAUGGCGCUACCGUCGUCCUCGACCCCCACCGCGUCGGCUCCGGCCUCCCUCGGCGAGCGGUGGCCGCCGCUGGAGUCUACCCCCGCAGUUUUCAACCAGUUCGUGUGGUCGCUAGGUGUCCCGGAGGACGACGUGGAGUUCCACGACGUGUACGGGCUCGACGCCGACGCGUUGGAUAUGGUUCCCCAGCCUGUGCUCGCCGUUGUUCUCUGCUUCCCCGAUCCACCACAGGUCAGGCAAAGGUGGCACCAUAUGUAUCUUCAAGAAGUAAGCAGGAUUGGUGUGGCCUAGCAAGCGGUUGCAGGCCUUCACAUGUGCACACAGUGCUGUUGGAAUCAUGGCCUGCGCUCCUAGAGAUGGGAUGCAAGUUACCCUUCAGAACAACUCUUAAUUUCUGGAGAAAAGGAAACACAGGACCAGGUUUACUUUAUAAAACAGAUCGAAUCAUUGGGAAAUGCUUGUGGAACUAUUGCUCUACUCCAUGCUGUUGGAAAUGCAUCUUCCAAAGUCAAUUUAGUGGAGAAUUCAUGCUUGGACUUGUUCUUCAAAUCAACUGCUACCAUGGACCCAUAUGAGCGUGCUGUGUUUCUGGAGAAGGAUGAUACAAUGGCAAGGGCUCACUUACUUGCUGCCAAUGAUGGUGCCACCGAGCUCAGUGAUCUUAUAGAAGAGCACUACGUUUGUUUUGUGUAUGUCAAUGGAACACUUUAUGAGCUUGAUGGAAUGAAGGAUGGACCUAUAAAGCACGGACCCUGUUCUUCUAUAAGUUUGCUGCAGGAUGUUGUUCCUGUUAUUAAGGCCAUCAUGUGCAAUAUCCCCAACUCAAUCAACUUCAAUCUUAUGGUGCUGUCAAGGAAAGAAAAAUAAUGGUGGUGCUAUUCCUUGAGCUGGUAAGCGGUGGAAUGCAAAACGCAAGGGUUCAAGGGAAGGGGAUUAAACGGAUGCCUGUUUGGACUGCAGCUGCGUCACUAAUAAGUUCAGUGAAUGCAAACAUUUUUUCCUGAUGUGUUCGCUAUCAUAUCUAGUCGAGUGCGUGACUACAUUCAUCUUUAGUGUUCGCAAAGCAUCUGAAAACUUGUCUUAGGCUCUAUUUGUUUCCUUCCAGUAUUAUAUAAUCCAGCUUAUACAUUAUAUAGGCCCCGUUUGUUUCCUUUU